rnacentral:sRNA from 1 species
UGGAUCAUAGGCCGCGGCGUCUUCGGCGC